AUACUUACCUGGCAGGGGGAAUGCCGUGAAAAGAAGGUAUUUGGCCUAGAGUGAGUCUCUUCCAUUGCACACACCUGUUGGUUUGAUCCCUGUGGUUUCCCCAACUGUGAAAAACUCAACUGCAUAAAUGAUGGUAGUGGAGCACUGCAUUUGUGCAUUCACCUG